AGAUUGAACGCUAGCGGGAUGCUUUACACAUGCAAGUCGAACGGCAGCGCGGACUUCGGUCUGGCGGCGAGUGGCGAACGGGUGAGUAAUAUAUCGGAACGUGCCCAGUAGCGGGGAUAACUACGCGAAAGCGUGGCUAAUACCGCAUACCGCCCGUACGGGGGGAAAGGGGGGAUCGCAAGACCUCUCACUAUUGGAGCGGCCGAUACUCAGAUUAGCUUAAGGUUGGUAGGAAGGUAAACGGCCUACGACCAAGGGCCGACGAUCUAGUAGCGUUGGUUUGAGAGGACCGACCAGCCACACGUGGACUGACGACCGACCGGACCCAGACCUCCGUACGGGACGGCAAGGCGAGGUAGGGUAAUUUAGGAC
rnacentral:rRNA from 1 species